rnacentral:rRNA from 1 species
GAUGAACGCUGGCGGCGUGCCUAAUACAUGCAAGUCGAGCGAACAGACGAGGAGCUUGCUCCUCUGACGUUAGCGGCGGACGGGUGAGUAACACGUGGAUAACCUACCUAUAAGACUUGGAUAACUUCGGGAAACCGGAGCUAAUACCGGAUAAUAUAUUGAACCGCAUGGUUCAAUAGUGAAAGACGGUUUUGCUGUCACUUAUAGAUGGAUCCGCGCCGCAUUAUCUAGUUGGUAAGGUAACGGCUUACCAAGGCAACGAUGCGUAGCCGACCUGAGAGGGUGAUCGGCCACACUGGAAGUGAGACACGGUACAGACUCCUACGGGAGGCAGCAGUAGGGAAUCUUCCGCAAUGGGCGAAAGCCUGACGGAGCAACGCCGCGUGAGUGAUGAAGGUCUUCGGAUCGUAAAACUCUGUUAUUAGGGAAGAACAAAUGUGUAAGUACCUAUGCACGUCUUGACGGUACCUAAUCAGAAAGCCACGGCUAACUCCGUG